rnacentral:tRNA from 3 species
CGGGCUGUAGUAUAAUGGUAUUAUUUGCGCAUGGGGUGCGUAAGACCCAGGUUCAACUCCUGGCAGCCCGACCA